AAUAGAUACCCGGGUAGUCCCAGCCGUAAACGAUGCUCGCUAGGUGUCAGGCAUGGCGCGACCGUGUCUGGUGCCGCAGGGAAGCCGUGAAGCGAGCCACCUGGGAAGUACGGCCGCAAGGCUGAAACUUAAAGGAAUUGGCGGGGGAGCACGACAACGGGUGGAGCCUGCGGUUUAAUUGGACUCAACGCCGGACAACUCACCGGGGGACGACAGCAAUAUGUAGGUCAGGCUGAAGACCUUACCUGAAUCGCUGAGAGGAGGUGCAUGGCCGUCGCCAGUUCGUACUGUGAAGCAUCCUGUUAAGUCAGGCAACGAGCGAGACCCGUGCCCACUGUUACCAGCAUAUCCUCCGGGAUGAUGGGUACACUGUGGGGACCGCCGGUGUUAAAUCGGAGGAAGGUGCGGGCCACGGUAGGUCAGUAUGCCCCGAAUUUCCCGGGCUACACGCGGGCUACAAUGAAUGGGACAAUGGGUCCCUCCCCUGAAAAGGGCUGGUAAUCUCACAAACCCAUCCUUAGUUCGGAUCGAGGGCUGUAACUCGCCCUCG
rnacentral:rRNA from 1 species